AAAACAUCGCCUCUUGUCCAUCAUAAGAGGUCCAGCCUGCCCAGUGAUAAAAUUUAACGGCCGCGGUAACCUAACCGUGCGAAGGUAGCAUAAUCACUUGUCCUUUAAAUAGGGGCUUGUAUCAACGGCACCACGAGGGUUAUACUGUCUCCUUUCUCUAAUCAGUGAAACUGAUCUCCCCGUGAAGAAGCGGGGAUAAAACUAUAAGACGAGAAGACCCCAUGGAGCUUUAAAUUAGCAGCAACUCAAUCACCUACCCCCCCUAUAAAAUAGAGCCAUGCAUGCGACUUUUAGGUUGGGGCGACCGCGGAGUAUAAAAUAACCCCCACGACGAAAAGAGCUAAAUCUUUAUCCCAGAGUCCCCCCUCAAAGAAUUAGUACCCUAACGAACAAUGACCCGAUCAUCGAUCAACGAACCAAGUUACCCUGGGGAUAACAGCGCAAUCUACUUCAAGAGCCCCUAUCGACGAGUAGGCUUACGACCUCGAUGUUGGAUCAGGGUAACCUAAUGGUGCAGCCGCUAUUGAACGGUUCGU
rnacentral:rRNA from 1 species